GAUGAACGCUGACAGAAUGCUUAACACAUGCAAGUCAACUUGAAUUUGGGUUUUUACCUUAGGUUUGGGUGGCGGACGGGUGAGUAACGCGUAAAGAACUUGCCUCACAGCUAGGGACAACAUUUGGAAACGAAUGCUAAUACCUAAUAUUAUGAUAAUAGGGCAUCCUAUAAUUAUGAAAGCUAUAAGCGCUGUGGGAGCGCUUUGCGUCCCAUUAGCUAGUUGGAGAGGUAACGGCUCACCCAGGCGAUGAUGGGUAGCCGGCCUGAGAGGGUGAUCGGCCACAAGGGGACUGAGACAGGGCCCUUACGCAAACGGGAGGCAGCAGUGGGGAAUAUUGGACAAUGGACCGAGAGUCUGAUCCAGCAAUUCUGUGUGCACGAUGAAGUUUUUCGGAAUGUAAAGUGCUUUCAGUUGGGAAGAAACAAAUGACGGUACCAACAGAAGAAGUGACGGCUAAAUACGUG
rnacentral:rRNA from 1 species